rnacentral:rRNA from 1 species
CACGUGGGUGAUCUGCCCUGCACUUUGGGAUAAGCCUGGGAAACUGGGUCUAAUACCGAAUAUGACCAUGGGAUGCAUGUCUCGUGGUGGAAAGCUUUUGCGGUGUGGGAUGGGCCCGCGGCCUAUCAGCUUGUUGGUGGGGUUAAGGCCUACCAAGGCGACGACGGGUAGCCGGCCUGAGAGGGUGUCCGGCCACACUGGGACUGAGAUACGGCCCAGACUCCUACGGGAGGCAGCAGUGGGGAAUAUUGCACAAUGGGCGCAAGCCUGAUGCAGCGACGCCGCGUGAGGGACGACGGCCUUCGGGUUGUAAACCUCUUUCAGUAGGGACGAAGCGCAAGUGACGGUACCUACAGAAGAAGGACCGGCCAACUACGUG